rnacentral:rRNA from 1 species
UACGAAGGGUGCAAGCGUUACUCGGAAUUACUGGGCGUAAAGCGUGCGUAGGCGGUUUGUUAAGUCUGUCGUGAAAGCCCCGGGCUCAACCUGGGAAUGGCGAUGGAAACUGGCGAGCUAGAGUACGGUAGAGGAGAGUGGAAUUCCCGGUGUAGCAGUGAAAUGCGUAGAGAUCGGGAGGAACAUCAGUUGCGGAAGGCGGCUCUCUGGACCAGUACUGACGCUGGAGGCACGAAAGCGUGGG